AACGCACAUUGCGCCCAUUAGUAUUCUAGUGGGCAUGCCUGUUCGAGCGUCAUUACAACCCUUAAGCCUCGGUUGCUUAGCGUUGGGAGCCUUACGCCUAGGGCGUAAACUCCUCAAAGUUAUUGGCAGAGUUACGGUAUACUCUAAGCGUAGUAAUUAUUUUCUCGCUUCUGAGAGUGUCGUGACGAUCGCCAUAAGCCUCUAUAUUUCUAGUGGUUGACCUCGGAUCAGGUAGGAAUACCCGCUGAACUUAA
rnacentral:misc_RNA from 1 species